CCUACGGGAGGCAGCAGUAGGGAAUAUUGGACAAUGGGCGCAAGCCUGAUCCAGCCAUCCCGCGUGAAGGAUUAAGGCCCUCUGGGUUGUAAACUUCUUUUCUCUGGGAAUAAAAACCGGUAUUCAUACUGGCUUGAAGGUACCAGAGGAAUAAGCACCGGCUAACUCCGUGCCAGCAGCCGCGGUAAUACGGAGGGUGCAAGCGUUAUCCGGAUUCACUGGGUUUAAAGGGUGCGUAGGUGGCUUUGUAAGUCAGUGGUGAAAUGCCGCAGCUCAACUGCGGAACUGCCAUUGAUACUGCUUAGCUUGAAUCACGUCGAGGUGGAUGGAAUAAUACAUGUAGCGGUGAAAUGCUUAGAUAUGUAUUAGAACACCGAUUGCGAAGGCAGUUCACUAGGCGUGUAUUGACACUGAGGCACGAAAGCGUGGGGAUCAAACAGGAUUAGAUACCCUGGUAGUCCACGCCCUAAACGAUGUAAACUCGACAUUAGCGAUAUACUGUUAGUGUCCAAGCGAAAGCGUUAAGUUUACCACCUGGAAGUACGACCGCAAGGUUGAAACUCAAGGAAUUGAGNGNGAGAGNGCGAGACGACGACGAGGGAGGAGG
rnacentral:rRNA from 1 species